GCGGGCGGCUGCCUUACCAUGCAGUCGAACGAUGAAGCCCUUCGGGGUGGAUUAGUGGCGAACGGGUGAGUAACACGUGGGCAAUCUGCCCUUCACUCUGGGACAAGCCCUGGAAACGGGGUCUAAUACCGGAUAACACCGGCUUCCGCAUGGGAGCUGGUUAAAAGCUCCGGCGGUGAAGGAUGAGCCCGCGGCCUAUCAGCUUGUUGGUGGGGUAAUGGCCUACCAAGGCGACGACGGGUAGCCGGCCUGAGAGGGCGACCGGCCACACUGGGACUGAGACACGGCCCAGACUCCUACGGGAGGCAGCAGUGGGGAAUAUUGCACAAUGGGCGAAAGCCUGAUGCAGCGACGCCGCGUGAGGGAUGACGGCCUUCGGGUUGUAAACCUCUUUCAGCAGGGAAGAAGCGAAAGUGACGGUACCUGCAGAAGAAGCGCCGGCUAACUACGUGCCAGCAGCCGCGGUAAUACGUAGGGCGCAAGCGUUGUCCGGAAUUAUUGGGCGUAAAGAGCUCGUAGGCGGCUUGUCACGUCGGGUGUGAAAGCCCGGGGCUUAACCCCGGGUCUGCAUCCGAUACGGGCAGGCUAGAGUGUGGUAGGGGAGAUCGGAAUUCCUGGUGUAGCGGUGAAAUU
rnacentral:rRNA from 1 species